rnacentral:rRNA from 1 species
CGCGCGAUACAGGGUGACAGCCCCGUACACAAAAGCGUAUGUGCUGUGAGCUCGAUGAGUAGGGCGGGACACGUGGUAUCCUGUCUGAAUAUGGGGGGACCAUCCUCCAAGGCUAAAUACUCCUGACUGACCGAUAGUGAACCAGUACCGUGAGGGAAAGGCGAAAAGAACCCCGGCGAGGGGAGUGAAAAAGAACCUGAAACCGUGUACGUACAAGCAGUGGGAGCCCCACCACUAAGCCAGUGGUGAACUCCACAUACGCAUCCUUUGCUGAGGAUACGGUUAACGGAGCGAAAGCGACGUUCAACCGCAAAAGAAGCAGAGGGGGCUUAGUGGUGGGGUGACUGCGUACCUUUUGUAUAAUGGGUCAGCGACUUAUAUUCUGUAGCAAGGUUAACCGAAUAGGGGAGCCGGAGGGAAACCGAGUCUUAACCGGGCGUUAAGUUGCAGGGUAUAGACCCGAAACCCGGUGAUCUAGCCAUGGGCAGGUUGAAGGUUGGGUAACACUAACUGGAGGACCGAACCGACUAAUGUUGAAAAAUUAGCGGAUGACCUGUGGCUGGGGGUGAAAGGCCAAUCAAACCGGGAGAUAGCUGGUUCUCCCCGAAAGCUAUUUAGGUAGCGCCUCGUGAAUUCAUCUCCGGGGGUAGAGCACUGUUUCGGCUAGGGGGCCAUCCCGGCUUACCAACCCGAUGCAAACUGCGAAUACCGGAGAAUGUUAUCACGGGAGACACACGGCGGGUGCUAACGUCCGUCGUGAAGAGGGAAACAACCCAGACCGCCAGCUAAGGUCCCAAAGUCAUGGUUAAGUGGGAAACGAUGUGGGAAGGCCCAGACAGCCAGGAUGUUGGCUUAGAAGCAGCCAUCAUUUAAAGAAAGCGUAAUAGCUCACUGGUCGAGUCGGCCUGCGCGGAAGAUGUAACGGGGCUAAACCAUGCACCGAAGCUGCGGCAGCGAACGUAUCACUUAAAGCGAUUCAGCGGGUUACGAUU